rnacentral:lncRNA from 1 species
UUUUGGUUACUGCCACAAUUAUUCUAAAGCUCAACAAUAGUCUAGCAAAAUCAUCUUACAAAAAUAAAGAACAAGAACUUAAGAUAGAAAAAAAAAGAGUUUUCAUAUAGCACAAACAAAUAAACUAGAGAUGAGGUAAAGAGAAUUAACACAACAUUCAACCAAAACAGAGCAAAAUAUAUUCACCAGAUUACUAAAAUCAUGAAAUUAAGCCCAUAUAGUAAAACAAAGAGAAAUGAACCUCAAUGGCGAGAGUUUCUUCCAGAUUAGAGGAACUUCGGGCUUACAAUUUAUCCAAAUGAAGAGUGACAACAUUCAUCAAUAAAAAUCGAGUAUCAACCGAAAAAAUCAACAGGAACGCGAAUCAGACACGGAACAUCGAUUUAAACCAGCUCCAUCUCACCAAUGAAAUUCAAACCCGAAAUCGGACUUAAAAAUCGGAAUCGUUGACAGAAAUCGGCUCAUCGGACCUUUUGAUGGAAGUCGUGUACUUGACUGAUUUUAGCUGGAGUGAAUGGGUGUUCGGAUGGAUUGAGGGUGGUUCAGAUAGCUAUUUUGCUGGAGAAGAAGAGUUAUUGUAGUGGAAGUUUGUUUCUCACAAUUAAAGAACAACGCUCUUAUGCUAAAAGAGACGAAAAAGCUAUGGAAGUGAAGGUGAUAGCUGAGUAUUCAUGGAGCCUUUUUUGUUCCUUUUCAUGGCCAAAUUGAAGAAGGUCAAAUUCCCUUUGUGCUAAGUUGGUCCCGUUCUUCGGUUUUUUUUCCUUUUUCUUAGAGGUCAAUUGUAAGUA